CACGUAGGCGGACUCUUAAGUCGGUGGUGAAAUCCUGGAGCUCAACUCCAGAACUGCCUUCGAUACUGGGAGUCUCGAGUCCGGGAGAGGUGAGUGGAACUGCGAGUGUAGAGGUGAAAUUCGUAGAUAUUCGCAAGAACACCAGUGGCGAAGGCGGCUCACUGGCCCGGUACUGACGCUGAGGUGCGAAAGCGUGGGAGCAAACA
rnacentral:rRNA from 1 species